GAAUAGAAAGGGGAUGAAAAGAUCAAGGGGGCUGCCCCCUCCAGCUUUCUUAAUGGAAGGACCUAAAGUCCCGUCUCAGCUUUUAAAAGACGGAGUUUUAAAGUCAGACGUGGCCAGAAAUGAAAAUAAUGUAAGGGAGCAGCAGCCUCUCCUGGGUUUGGUCUGACUAACAGCUGAGCCAGCAGAAACCAAAGUGGUGAAGCCUGACAGCAUGGUGGUAAUAAGGCCCGGGCAGCACAAAGUCAGAACCAAUUGAAUCUCCUCAACUUUGAAUUUGUCCAGCUGGCUACCUAGUUCUCCAGGGUGCAUGACUUUGUAUGAGCCCCGGUGGAAACAAUGCUGCUGUCUCAAAUUGAUGCAGCCUAAGAUUCGGCCAAGUGGAGGCAGCAGUGUUUUGUGCAUCUCUGCAACAGAAACUAAGCAAAAGCACCGUAUUGCUAUUUUAGGAGGCCUCACCCAUGUCCAUGGAAGCAUCUGAUGAGAAUGGACCUAAUCGGACACCAUUUCGCAUGGAAAUCCCUCUGCAAUUCCUCGCCCAUUACCACAGAGCCCCGCUGCUGUCCGUGGCACCGUACAUCUCGGCCAGCUUUUUGAAGCGUGGCCCCCAGUCCGUCAGGUAGUCGUAGCUCUGGUCUGAGUCUGUCGUCACCGACUGUAGGGAGCUGAGUGACUCUGCCACUGAACCGUUCCCUUCAAACAUGUACGUCUGGAGGGAGUCGAAGGGAGGAGCCCAGAGGUCCAUGUCAGCCUCAUACAGCUUGGCGAGCACGUAGUUAUGGACGUUGUUGUCCAUGACGCACGCCUGAGGCACGUAUCUGGAGAGGCUCUCUAUUUCAGGGAGCAUGUCCUGCCUGUUUUUUAACACGAGCUGGGCUUCCCGUGGAUUCCACAUGGCGGCGAUAUCGAAGGCCUCCGUGUCCUCCUCCCCACCGCCUUCAUCGUCAUACCUGACGAUGUUCUCAUGGAUGUUCUCCUCCUCGUCGAUGAUGUAUGGCUGCUUCCGCUGGCGCCGCAUGGAGAGGAUGAGGAGCACCAGCACUGCGGGAGGCAACCAAGACACAGGACCAUCAGUAAGAGGGCAGAUCUUGCAGGGGCUUUAAUGUGUGUUGAAUGCGUGUGUAUGUUGAAGUAAUACCUCAUGAACCAAGAGCCCAAACAAGGGAAUCAAAGUGCUUUUGACACCAGCAGCUAACAGGGUAAAUAGAAGGUCUGGACAAGGAAAGGAAAUACGUUUGUGGAGAGCACAGGCAAGAUGCCCAACUUUCAGUACUUCCUUCUGACACACCCUUUCCUAGAAAGCAACCCCCUAGCCAGAAGAGAAGAGCUUGUCCCCUCCCAGCAAGCAGCCAAGGCUUUACCUAGCAGGACAAAGAUGCAGGCGAGGAUUGCAAUGAGUGCCCCUCUGCUCAGGCUGACGGGAAGGACGUAGGCCUCGGCGUUGCAGGACAUCACCAUGCCGUCAUCGUCGCAGCUGCACACGUGUAUGGUCAGCGUGCCCGUGCUGCUCAGCACGGGGCGGCCGUUGUCGCUGAUCAGGAUGGGGAGGUAAAAGGUGUUCUGCUCGUGCUGUCUGAAGCCAGAGCGCCUUGUCAAAAUCCACGCCGUGUUGUCUAGGGGCGGACAACAAACAGAGAGAAGAACUUACACACAGAGCAAAUACGUUCAGAAGAAAAGGAAGGUUAAAAAAAAAUCACUGCUAAGCCCACAUCCCUUUGUCUUCCCUCCAAUUUUUUUUUAUUGUUUUUAAUCAGUUUGUCACCAUUCAUCAUUUUGCCUCUGCAUCCCUUAUUCCAGUAUCUUCCCAGGCCACGGCUCAAAACCUCCAAGGCAUACACACCUUACGAGCUGUUUUUACCCUUUCUGACAUGAAGUGCCCAGAGCAAAGUCACAGCCUUCAGAUUUAGCUAGAAGAGCUUUCAAAAGGCAGGACAGAAAUGAACAGUUGAGGGCAACUUGUUGUCCCCGUUUGUUCUUGCUCAGCAGCUUUUCUAGACAUUGCUCUUAAGAGCUGCCAGCACUUUGGGGAUGCUGGUGUAUAACCCUUGUGGACAUGUUAAGGUUGUCUUUAUGUUUUUUGAUACGUGGCAUGGCCAUCUGCUUGAGGCAAUAAGAAGACAAAGGGAAAAAAAUACAGCUUGCUAUUUGAAAGAGCAGUGAGUUGAAAAUUUUGCAGCUAAACAUUUUUUCAAUGAAAUACAUGCAAUUUCAUUGACACUGUUGCCAUUGAAAAAAGUCAGACUACUUUGUUUUCAUUGCCAGAAUUACUCUGUUUUGAUUGACCAUUCUGCUUCAUUUAGUGUGGCUACCACCUGUCUUCUAGAAGAACUUGAAACAAAAUGAAUUAAAAUGAUGCUGUGGAAACAAAAGAGUAAGAGAAUGACCAAACUGCAAAUUGCUUUUAAUUUUCAUUUCAAGGGUAAUUCCUACUUCUAAGGCUUUUCCUCCAUAUUCAUCAUGUUUUUUUCUUUAAAAGUCAACAUCUCCCAAUGGCUUUUGAAUUUCUUUCUCUACUCUCUCCCUCAGAUUCCUCAAGCUGUGCACCGAGUAUUCUAACUAGAAAGAAAAUGGAUCCAGGAAUCUGUCCUUCUCAAGUCUUAUCUCAGAAAUACCACAGCAAACCCUUUGAGGUCUGUGAUGAUUUUGCCUGUGCUGACUUUCAAAUUUUAUGGUCUCAGAGACUUCUGGAAAGUUCAAGGCUGAAUGUCUCCAAUGUGAUCUGGGCCACCAGGUUAUGUAAAGGAAGCUGUGGAAAAUUGGCCCUUUGUACAAACAUGUAUACUAAUCUUGGGCCAGCUAAGACAGGGAACAAAGGUACUUCCACUUUUGGCAGACCUACAGCCAUGGUUCAUCAGAUUAGUUUAAAUUGUGACCUGUUUUUAAAAGCAAUCUCAUGAUCUUUUAUUUCUUACACUUCAAUGAGAUUUCAAGCUUUCACUCUGAAAGUGUAAAAUACUGAAGUGUGCACAUGUCUCUGUGAAUAUGUAAUGAAAUUGUAUUGUCUCAUUAAAUCAUGUCAUCCCAAGAGCUGGGGCUUUGAGAAGAACCACCAAGUAGCACCAGAUGCAGGAUGAAAUCCCCAAAGUUGCUUCAAACUGGUAAUGUGUCAGCGUUUGCUGAUUUUACCACUUUUUAAUACACUGUGCAGCUCUGAACAUUGUGCAGCUGGUGUGUACAGACAUAGACAGACGCAUUUCCACCGAUGUGUGCCAAGAUGCAGUGGUGAUCAGCACCCUGCGGCUGCCAAGGCUCAUGGGCAAGGGGUGUGUGUUCUCCUGCAAGCCUCCCUCUCCUCCCUCUUGGGGCACACACACGUGGUUUCUCACCCUCAGGCUGUUUUAUGUGCCCUCUAGUAAAUGCUUCCCAGGAUUAAAAACACAUCUUUUCAUCACUGAGCCUGAUAUAGCAUGAGAAAAGCAGCCCAAAGGGCAGAAAAUGGCAAAGUGUCUGGAUUUAUGCUGUGUCAGUGGAAAUGUCCGAGUCAUCUUAACAUUGUAGUAGUUUGGUUGCAUUUCUCUUUCCUGGGCGAAAGACUCACUCUCUUUAAACUGGCUUAUAAUAGAAGGCACAAAUUCCAUUCAGGUGACAGCAAACUUUCAUUUUAUGCGAAAUUGCUCUUUGUGAAGGAAAAAGACUUCAUUAUUCUGAGCUGGUCGUACUUUGCCUGUAGAAAAAAUCACAGGCAGUGAGUGUGACUGAAGCUGUACAAAAUCAGUUAGUGAGAGAUCUCAAAUUUUUUAAGCAUGUCUUUUUUUUUUUUUUUUUUUUUUUCUCCAGGCUGAGAAACAAGUCUUCAUAAUCAAAUAUUGACGGAGAUAUAUAUAUGUGUAUGUGUGUUAUAUAUAUAUAUAUACAUAUUUUUGCAGUGAUGUGUUGCCCGUAUCAUCUAGGUCUUAAAUAUUCUUGGCUAUGUAAUUCCCUUGGUGACUUUCAGCAUAAUGUUUCAUCCCUUUUGCUUUGUUUUGCUUUGUACUAGGCAGGCAUCCAAAUCAUCCCUAAGGAAUCACUCUACCUGUUACUCCACAACUGCAGUGUGUUUUUGCCAAAGCUUGUUGUGUGACUCAUCAAAAGCCAAUGUGAUUUGAUGUGCUGCUGCAGUGCAAAGGACAUGCUGGAAUGGGAUGCAGCACGGUAGAAACUGGAAUACGCAAUUUUCUUCCAAAUUUGAUAUCUGUUAAGCCCCAGCCAUCAGCAAAAUAGGGCUUGUGAGGACAUGAAAGCCUCAUUAUAUUAAAAUAAAGCAUGAUAAGAAUGCACAGUA